rnacentral:rRNA from 1 species
GACGAACGCUGGCGGCGUGCUUAACACAUGCAAGUCGAACGGAAAGGCCCUGCUUUUGUGGGGUGCUCGAGUGGCGAACGGGUGAGUAACACGUGAGUAACCUGCCCUUGACUUUGGGAUAACUUCAGGAAAAUGGGGCUAAUACCGGAUAGGAGCUCCUGCUGCAUGGUGGGGGUUGGAAAGUUUCGGCGGUUGGGGAUGGACUCGCGGCUUAUCAGCUUGUUGGUGGGGUAGUGGCUUACCAAGGCUUUGAAGGGUAGCCGGCCUGAGGGGGUGACCGGCCACAUUGGGACUGCGAUACGGCCCAGACUCCUACGGGAGGCAGCAGUGGGGAAUAUUGCACAAUGGGCGGAAGCCUGAUGCAGCAACGCCGCGUGCGGGAUGACGGCCUUCGGGUUGUAAACCGCUUUCGCCUGUGACGAAGCGUGAGUGACGGUAAUGGGUAAAGAAGCACCGGCUAACUACGUG